CCUACGGGCGGCAGCAGUGAGGAAUAUUGGUCAAUGGGCGAGAGCCUGAACCAGCCAAGUCGCGUGAGGGAGUACUGCCCUAUGGGUUGUAAACCUCUUUUGUCGGGGAGCAAAAGCCGGACGUGUCCGGCUGUGAGAGUACCCGAAGAAAAAGCAUCGGCUAACUCCGUGCCAGCAGCCGCGGUAAUACGGAGGAUGCGGUCGUUAUCCGGAUUUAUUGGGUUUAAAGGGUGCGCAGGCGGAUUUUUAAGUCAGCGGUAAAAUCGUGGGGCUCAACCCCAUCCAGCCGUUGAAACUGGGGAUCUAGAGUGUGCGAGAGGUAUGCGGAAUGCGUGGUGUAGCGGUGAAAUGCAUAGAUAUCACGCAGAACCCCGAUUGCGAAGGCAGCAUACCGGUGCACAACUGACGCUCAGGCACGAAAGCGUGGGUAUCGAACAGGAUUAGAUACCCUUGUAGUC
rnacentral:rRNA from 1 species